GGGAAGUGGAAAAAAAGACAUCAGUAAAAAGCAUUGCACGUGAUUAAAAGCAACGUUUCUAACCCCUGGAUCACUAGCUGUUCAAGAAAACAAGGGAAUAAUUCUUCUGCUAAACUGAAACCGAAGUUUUGCACAGAGCCAAAAUGUCCACUUUAAGUUUAUGUUGGCACUGGAAUAGAAGAUUUCUGUGUAAUUUGCUGCGUGAAGAUUACAGCAGACAAUCACAGCUAAAUGCAUACUUCUGAACUUUUAAACAUAUCAGAGAAUUGAUGGUUUCUAGACUGACCUGAAGUUGAUCUGGGAGAGUUUCUUCUUUGCUACACCUGGGCAAUCAGCAUUCUUCAAGCGUGAGAGAAAGGAUAAAGGUGCGCUGUGUGACUGAAGAGCUGAAGAACAUGCUUACAAAUUGGGCUUGCAUAAGGCCUAAUCCAGAAGUCAGUAACUUGAACUGUUUGAAUAUUACACUGUGCUAUACGACUGUCUAGACAGGGUUCCAACAGCAUAAAUGGGGCCCUAUGCUCAUUUUCUCAUAUCUCCCCUCAAAGGCUUUUAAUGGAAAGGCCUCUGGGUUUUGUAUAUGGUGAAUAUAUAAAGUAUUCUUUGAAUGUUUUUUUUGGGAUGUUAAGGGGAUCAAGGGAUAUUGGGUUAGUUUAAGAAAGUGACACUGAGGUGAAACACAGCCUUGAUCUUUUUGAAUGGUGGAGCAGGCAUGAGGGCCAAGAGGCCUACGCUGGCUUCUAGUUCAUGUGUUCCUUUGGUUAUGUAUUAACCACAAAAUUAUCCCCCUCAUCGCCUGAAAACCCUGAGACUUUGGUUUGAUUUAAUUGAAACCUUAGCCAGGCAGUUAUUCAUCUUGGAGGUAAUGGGAAGUGGGAGCACUAAUGCAGACCAAAGCUCCGAUGCAUUUCCCUUUGUUCAAGCUCUGAAUUACUAGAAGUCAGGUAUGAAGCCCUUGCCCUGGAUCAUCACCCACUUUGCAUUCUGUAAGAUUUUAAAAACAGUGAUCAAUCCUCACUCUCUGGAAGGCUGCCAUGAAUAGCAUUACAGUAAUUAGCCAAUCAUAUACCAAUAGAAGAAAGCUUGUUAAAGGAGCAGAUUUAAUUCAAAUACAAUACCUUGCAGAUAAUACAAUGUGGAGACCUAUACAGUCAGGCUUACGCAGGCCCUGUCUCAGGCCAAUGUGGUUGUACUUUAAUUGCAAGUCUUGGCAAGCCCAUUGGUUGUAUUACUUCUACCAACAGUUCAAGAAUAAAGGGGCACUACAAAGUUUUUAGGGAAACUAGGGAUAGACUAGCAAGAGCUCAGGGCCAGCAUGUUCUUAUAGAGUGAAGGGCAAGGCUGGCAGGAAUAGGGAACCCUGGCUGACGAGGGAUAUUGAGGCUCUGGUCAGAAAAAAGGAGGAGGCAUAUGUCAGGUAUAGACAGCUGGCAUCAAGUGAAUCCCUUGGAGUAUAUGGAAUGUUGGAGUGCACUUAAGAGGGAAAUCAGGAGGGCAAGAAGAGGACAUGAAAUAGCUUUGGCAGUUAAGAUAAAGGGAAAUCUUAAGAGAUUCUAUAUCAAGAGCAAAAGGAUCAAUGUGGUCAAUGUGGAGCCACACAAGGUGGUCGAUGUCUUAAAUGAAUAUUUCUGGUUUGUAUUUACUGUGGAGAAGGUCACGGAAGCAAGGGAAUUCAGGGAAGAGAAUAGUGAUGCCUUGAAACGUAUCCAUAUUACGAAAGACGAGGUGCUGGCAGUCUUAAAGCACACAAAGGUGGAUAAAUCCCUAGGGCCUGACCAAGUGUAUCCAAGGACAUUGUAGGAAGACUGGAAAGAAAUUGCUGGGGCCCUGGCAGAGAUAUUUGUAUCAUCGUUAGCCACUGGUGAGGGACUGGAGGGUGGCUAAUGUCGUGCCUUUAUUUUAGAAGGUGCCAUAUCCCUCAACCUUUUCUGUCCAUGUACCUAUAUAAGUAUCUUUUAAAUGUUGUCAUUGUACCCAUCUCUACUGCUUCCUCUGGCAGCUCGUUCCUCUGGGUGGAAAGGUUGCCCCUCAGGUCUCCUUUAAAUCUUACCCCUUGCAGCCCAUUUGUUAUUUCUUUACAUGGGGAUGGCCCCUUUCACACAAGCAAGUGUAUGAUUUUAGAGCAAGGUCUUGGCCCAAUGAUAAAGAGAUCCAAGGUGACUGGAGGCCAGGCUUUGCUGCAUGGACUUAACACAUAGCGUCUUUUUCCACUGUCCCUCACCCUCCCCUAACCUCCUGUCUUCCUCAGAACCUGCUCUGUCUUAGCCACCACAUUCCUCACCUUUCCUUCUCAACCCAUUCUUCCUUCCAAUCUUAAUCCUCUCCUUCCAUCCUUGCCAACCCCCCCUACCCCACCCCCUCACUAGUGGUUGCCUUCCUCCUGGGGCAAUCUUGCCCCCACCAUUGCGGCCCUCUUUAGAGAAUGAACAAUGUAUCUCAUGUUAUGAUUGUUACUUGGAGAUAGCUCACGGGCAACUCAGGGCAUGGGGUUACUCCCCAUUGCCCCUUGGCACAAUGGAGUGAGGCAAGAUAUUCUGCAUGCUUCUCAAGCAUAAAGUUUGAAACAGGUUGGGUGGCCUUCAGUACCCAAUGGAUUGGGGUUGGGUAGGCUGUGAAAAAACAUCUGUUACCCAGCCUGGCUAUUUCAGGUUUAAUAGAGGCAGGGCCAGGGGGUGGAUAGCCAACACAUUGAAUAUAAUAUAGAAGCUGGAACCUCCCAUUUAAUAAAUAUUUAAUAGUCAUCUACUGGGCUCUGUAGAACAGCACAAGGGAAACAGUGCCAGCUUCUGAGCCAAGAUAAGAUUCCUCACAGCCAAGAGGAGCAAGAGUGUCUUCGCUUGGCCCACGCAAAUACCUCCCAUCACUACACCCAUUCUUCCUAGAUUGGAACUCCUUUCCCACUUCUCCAUUUUAUGGAGUUGGUUCCUCCGGGUUCAUGGAUUGUGUCCUUCCACACCCAUCUCCAUGCUGGGAGUUUCUGACUCCCCUUCCCCAGAGUUCUUUAUCUACUCCUGAGAUGUGGAAUACUCUGGAAUGCUGCCUCACACCCUCACCAACUGGGGCCGAUUAUUAGGUGGAUGAAAAAUGGUAAAGAGAUGAGAGGAAUGACAACGAUCUUCCUUCUGCUCAUUUGAACUACCAACACAAAAUGGUUUAUUCAGAUUUAGCUCAUCCUUUAUCUGGCAACCCAAGUAACACAUGAUUCUGAGCAUCCAUGCACAGCUGUGUUCAUCUUUAGUGGGUCGCUUUAUAUGGCCAGCCAGAUAUCAGGCAUGCAGAAAACCUUAUCAUUGUGAUCUAAGACUCCACAUCAGAAGAGCUUUGCUAUAGUUAUUACCCUAUUAUAGCACUAUUUGCUAAAAUAUACACAUUUUGGACAUAUUCUGGCCUAAGGAAUCCAUGUGUUUACUGGCAAAAACACAGGUAGUUCUGCUACAAUGCAUGCUUCCAUAACACAAAUUGGAUAUAACACGGUUGAUGAACUAGGGAGCACUGUUUGUAUUAUGCAGGCCAAAUUGGUUAUAACACAAUUUCAAUCAGGAACUAAAGAACCACUUAAGAGUUACUUUGGAAAUUGACAAACAAAAAAAAAACUGGGGGAGAAAACAGUCUUGAGAAAAAAAAUGUUUCCAAGUAACUUCCCCAGAGUAAUCAGAUACCAUUGUCUCUUUAGAACACAGGCUGCUAACUGACAAGCAAUCACUUCUAUUGACAAUUGUGCAACAAUACUUUAUUAAACAAAGUAACAUAGAGUCUUUAUUAUUUUUAGUUUGCAGUAACAGAAUAAACUUAUAACUAUUAAAAACAUUUUUAUUUUUGAAGGACCUGCAGGAAAAAUAACUCUGUUAUUGCAAGUCUUAAACUCUCAGCCCCUAACCCCUUUGUUCCCACUGACACAAUUGUUCUUAUAAUGCAAUUUUCUGUAACAUAGUGUUUCUUAGGAACACAACUGUCGUGUUAAAGCAGAACUACCUGUAUUUAAGGUGGAGGUAGGUAAAUUUUUAAAAGAACUGAGCUCUUUGAAGAACUAGUGCAGAAGACGAGUUAAGGCCAGCGUAGAUUAGUCAUGAUUAUAUUGAAUGGUGGGGCAGGCUUGAAGGGCCUAGUGGCCUACUCCUGCCCCUAUUUUCUUGUGUUCCAAAUGAAAAAGUGAUUCACUUGCACUUCUUACAGUCUAAUGCAAUACGUUCAGUACACACAAUGUCAUUCCUUCCACAUUGGAAAAACCAAAAACAGACUGAAUUACCAUUUUGCAGAGCACCCCCAUUCAAUAUCCAAUGGCAACUCUGAGCUUCUAGUCCUGUCACUUUAAAUCUCUGCCCUACUCCCACUCUGACUUCUCGGUCUUCAUCCUCCUAAUUUGCUCCAACAGUGCCUGAUGUAAGCUUGAGGAACAGUUCCUCAUCUUCAGACUGGAACUGUUGAAGCUUUGAGAUUUAAUGUUGAAUUUAACAAUUUCAGAUAAACAUCAUUUUUCCCCUCUCCUCAGUUAAGGUCGUAUCUGUCGGUUUCAAUAAGUUUCUGCUUAUUUUUUUCUGAGUCCAUCUGCCAAUUUUUAAAGUUAUGGUUCCCUUGACAACUUUGAUCAGUGCCCUAAUACAGACUUUCACAGACAAAACGUGCAUGGUUCAUUGGCAAUGAUGGGGCAGGUUGAGAACGAAUAUGGGAUUAUGGGCUUUAUAAGCAGAGGCACAGAGCAAGAGGUCAUGAUGAUCAUUUAUAAAAUACUGGGUAUUGUGUCUGCUGUGGACAUCACACUUUAGGAAAGAUAUGAAGGCUUUGGAGAGGGUGCAGGAGGGAUUCUAGAGAUGAAGGUCUACGGUUAUGCGUUUAGGCUGAAGAAGCUGGGGCUGUUCUCCUUGGAACAGAGGAGAUUGCGAGAAGUAUUUAAAAUUAUGAAGGUUACAGAUUAGAAGAUAGUGAUAAUCUGUUCCCAUUGGCAGUGGGGUCAAGAAUUAGGGGGUUUAAAAUGAAGGUGAUCAGCAAAAGAACCAAAUAUGACAUAAGGAACCAUCUCAACACAGUAGGUGAUUGGAGUCUGCAAUGCACUGCCAGCAGAAAUAUUGGUGGAUUCAAUUCAAAAGGGGGCUGAAGAAAGGGAAAAAAUUGCAAAGGAAUGGAGAGAUGUGGGGAGUGGGAUUAGUUGUAACGUGGAGCCAAUAGGUCGUCAACAGUCCUCCUUCUGUGCUGUAACCAUUCUUUGAUACUUGAGAACCACAUGCAUUAUCAAUAAUGGCUGAUGAAGGGUCUCAGCCAGAAACAUCAACUGUUUAUUUCUCUCCAUGGAUACUGCCUGACCUGCUGAGUUCCUCCAGCAUUUUUUGUGUAUUGCUCCAGAUUCCAGCAUGUGCAGAAUUUCUUGUGUUUCAAUAAAGGCUACUUGGAAUAAGUACCAGUGGAUUCCAGAUACAAGUAGUUCUGGUAUAACAUGUAUUUCCAUAAUCCAAAUUAGUUAUAACGUGACUGAUGGAUUAAUGAACAAUAUUUGCAGUAUGUGGACUGCAUUAGUAGUAGCAUGAUUGUGAUCAUGAAAACCUGUUUAAAUCUGUGCUUUAAAGGCAACUGCAGCCUGUUCUGCUUUAACACAACUUUCUGUAACGCAAUAUUUCUUAGGACUGUAACUAUCACGUUAUAGCAGAACUACCUGUAUCCCAUAAAAGAGUCAAUCAGGACAUUUUCCAACCUACAUUAUAUUCAAUAAUAUGUGUUGAUUUCAAUGGAAUGUAAAAUUGGGUGGCGAAUAAAACUGAGAAUAUUUGCAGCCAUGUCAAUUCCCCGCUUGACAGGUUGUUAAAAUUACCCCGAGCCUUCAGGACAUUAACAGAGGGGAGAAAAUUGGCAAAAAGUGUUGGCAAGGAAUUAAAAGAAAGACAAGUUUCAUUAAAUCUGUCUUCAAAGCUCUUAAUGGCUGCUGGUGCCUUGGACAAUUAUAUAGUUCAAGUUUAAUUUUGCUGGAAAUGCUUAGUGAGGAGAAAAUCUGUUCCAGAAACAAUGAAAACAUUCUGAGUGACUUGUUCCAACAACACCAGGUGAAUAGGUUUCUUCAGGUUUGAAAGAUUCAGUAUUGAAUAAUUUUAAGUUGAGACAUUUAUUAUUGUAUGAUAAGUAUUCAAAUCAUUCAACUGUGCAUAACCUGCUUAAAUUUCACAUUGAUUACAUUUGGAAAAUAGUUAAGUUUGAUUAAAGAAAUGCAAGGAAGAUAUCUCUCAUGGCUUUGUAUACGCACAUCCAUAUUUACUGAUGCCUUUCUUUUGAACUAUUUUUGUGGAAUUCGAGCAUUAUCUAAAAAAAGUAAUAAAUUAAAUCCA